UUGGAGGGCAAGUCUGGUGCCAGCAGCCGCGGUAAUUCCAGCUCCAAUAGCGUAUAUUAAAGUUGUUGCAGUUAAAAAGCUCGUAGUUGAACUUCGGGGUCUACCCAUUGGUCAGGCUUAAUUGUCUGCACUGGUGAGAUGGAUCUCUACCUUCUGAGGAACUUUCAUGCCAUUUAUUUGGUGUGAUGGGAAAUCAGGACUGUUACUUUGAAAAAAUUAGAGUGUUUAAAGCAGACUAUCGUCUGAAUACAUUAGCAUGGAAUAAUGAAAUAGGACGGACUGAUUCUAUUUCGUUGGUUUCUAGGAUCACCGUAAUGAUUAAUAGGGAUAGUUGGGGGCAUUAGUAUUCAAUUGUCAGAGGUGAAAUUCUUGGAUUUAUUGAAGACUAACUACUGCGAAAGCAUUUGCCAAGGAUGUUUUCAUUAAUCAAGAACGAAAGUUAGGGGAUCGAAGACGAUCAGAUACCGUCGUAGUCUUAACCAUAAACUAUGCCGACUAGGAAUCGGACGAAGUUAAUUUUAUAAUGACGCGUUCGGCACCUUACGGGAAAC
rnacentral:rRNA from 1 species